AUUGAACGCUGGCGGCAGGCCUAAUACAUGCAAGUCGAGCGGAUGAAGGGAGCUUGCUCCUGGAUUCCGCGGCGGACGGGUGAGUAAUGCCUAGGAAUCUGCCUGGUCGUGGGGGAUAACGUCCGGACACGGGCGCUAAUACCGCAUCCGUCCUGAGGGAGAAAGUGGGGGAUCUUCGGACCUCACGCUAUCAGAUGAGCCUAGGUCGGAUUAGCUAGUUGGUGGGGUAAAGGCCUACCAAGGCGACGAUCCGUAACUGGUCUGAGAGGAUGAUCAGUCACACUGGAACUGAGACACGGUCCAGACUCCUACGGGAGGCAGCAGUAGGGAAUAUUGGACAAUGGGCGAAAGCCUGAUCCAGCCAUGCCGCGUGUGUGAAGAAGGUCUUCGGAUCGUAAAGCACUUUUAGUUGGGAGGAAGAGCAGUAAGUGAAUACCUUGCUGUUUUGACAUUACCAACAGAGUAAGCACCGGCUAACUUCGUG
rnacentral:rRNA from 1 species